CCAAACUUGGUCAUUUAGAGGAAGUAAAAGUCGUAACAAGGUUUCCGUAGGUGAACCUGCGGAAGGAUCAUUAUUAAUAUGAUGGGGUUUUCACCUCUAAAAAAAUCCACAUUCACUCUUUGUGCAUUGUUGUAAAAAAUCGAUUGACAGAAAUGACAAUCGGUUAUAUCUACGCCUAUGAUUUUUUUCUGAAAAUAAAAGUAAUUUUUUUUUUUUAAAAAACAAAAUACAACUUUCAACAACGGAUCUCUUGGCUCUCGCAUCGAUGAAGAACGCAGC
rnacentral:misc_RNA from 1 species